rnacentral:rRNA from 1 species
AUACGGAGGACGCGAGCGUUAUCCGGAUUUAUUGGGUUUAAAGGGUGCGUAGGCGGGAGCUUAAGUCAGCGGUUAAAUGGUGCGGCUCAACCGUGCCCUGCCGUUGAAACUGGGUUUCUUGAGAGUGCAAGAGGCGGAUGGAAUUCAUGGUGUAGCGGUGAAAUGCUUAGAUAUCAUGAAGAACUCCGAUUGCGAAGGCAGUCCGCUGGGGCACGUCUGACGCUGAUGCUCGAAGGUGCGGGAAUCAAACAGGAUUAGAUACCCUGGUAGUCCGCACGGUAAACGAUGAUUACCCGCUGUCGGCGGUAGACAGUCGGCGGCCAAGCGAAAGCGAUAAGUAAUCCACCUGGGGAGUACGCCGGCAACGGUGAAACUUAAAGGAAUUGACGGGG